rnacentral:rRNA from 1 species
GACGAACGCUGGCGGCGUGCCUAAUACAUGCAAGUUGAGCGCUGAAGGUUGGUACUUGUACCAACUGGAUGAGCAGCGAACGGGUGAGUAACGCGUGGGGAAUCUGCCUUUGAGCGGGGGACAACAUUUGGAAACGAAUGCUAAUACCGCAUAAAAACUUUAAACACAAGUUUUAAGUUUGAAAGAUGCAAUUGCGUCACUCAAAGAUGAUCCCGCGUUGUAUUAGCUAGUUGGUGAGGUAAAGGCUCACCAAGGCGAUGAUACAUAGCCGACCUGAGAGGGUGAUCGGCCACAUUGGGACUGAGACACGGCCCAAACUCCUACGGGAGGCAGCAGUAGGGAAUCUUCGGCAAUGGACGAAAGUCUGACCGAGCAACGCCGCGUGAGUGAAGAAGGUUUUCGGAUCGUAAAACUCUGUUGGUAGAGAAGAACGCUGGUGAGAGUGGAAAGCUCAUCAAGUGACGGUAACUACCCAGAAAGGGACGGCUAACUACGUG